GAAUUGACGGGGGCCCGCACAAGCAGUGGAGCAUGUGGUUUAAUUCGAAGCAACGCGAAGAACCUUACCAGGGCUUGACAUCCCUCUGACCGGUGUAGAGAUACACCUUCCCUUCGGGGCAGGGGUGACAGGUGGUGCAUGGUUGUCGUCAGCUCGUGUCGUGAGAUGUUGGGUUAAGUCCCGCAACGAGCGCAACCCUUGUCGUUAGUUGCCAGCACUUUGGGUGGGCACUCUAACGAGACUGCCGGCGACAAGUCGGAGGAAGGUGGGGAUGACGUCAAAUCAUCAUGCCCCUUAUGUCCUGGGCUACACACGUGCUACAAUGGCGACUACAGAGGGAAGCAAAACCGCGAGGUAGAGCAAAUCCCCAAAGGUCGUCCCAGUUCGGAUUGCAGGCUGCAACUCGCCUGCAUGAAGUCGGAAUUGCUAGUAAUGGCAGGUCAGCACACUGCCGUGAAUACGUUCCCGGGCCUUGUACACACCG
rnacentral:rRNA from 1 species